rnacentral:miRNA from 1 species
AUAGCUAAUGAGAAAACACUGA